UACGUAGGGGGCAAGCGUUGUCCGGAAUCAUUGGGCGUAAAGGGCGCGUAGGCGGCCUGAUAAGUAGGGGGUGAAAUCCUGCGGCUUAACCGCAGGGCUGCCUUCUAAACUGUCGGGCUAGAGCACGGUAGAGGCAGAUGGAAUUCCCGGUGUAGCGGUGGAAUGCGUAGAUAUCAGGAGGAAUACCGGUGGUGUAGACGGCUCUCUGGACCGCCACUGACGCUGAGACACGAAAGCGUGGGUAGCAAACAGG
rnacentral:rRNA from 1 species